AAGAUGCAGAGCCCUCAGCCCAGCAGAGGACAGGCACCAGAGGGAAGGUGAGCCUGGUGAGCAAGGCAGUGCACAGACUUCUAACGUGCAGUCCAACGUGACAGGGACCCUGCCUGUAAGAGGAGAUGUAGGCAGCCUCAGAUGGCCGAAGCCAACUCACAGUGAGGUGACGGACACAGUUUGGUCCUCUGGAGCUGUCCUU